CUAAAACCCUUAUUAUAAAACUAGGGGAAAUGCAGGGAAAAAGAAGGAAAUGUAUCUCUCUGAGAAUCCUUUCUUUAGGCAGUUGUCUUGUUGGUUGCACCAAUGCUGGUUUUCUUCUGCCACCAGCAUUCCUAGGGUCCAGGAUUGAGGAAUUCCUCACAUACUCUUUUUUACUUCGGAUUCCUCUAGAUUCUUGGAUUCUCCCAGGGGACCCUGCACCCACAUUCCAAUUCCAGGAAGUUUGGGAAAUUGUAAAAUGAAAUUAUUAUGACCCAAAGAGAAAUGAUCUCAAUGAGGAGGGGAAAAAAAGGAAUUAUCUAAAGAUACCAAUGCAGAUGCACAUAGAGAGAAUUCACUAACCAACUUGGAUUUUAAAAGAUUUGUUCAGAAGAUGAAAGCAAGAGAAGGUAAUAGAAGAUGAAUAAAAAAGAAUGAUCCUGCAGGAGAAGUGUUGGGUAUGCUGAAAAGUUCAGAAUUUUCUGAGACUGAUCGCUCACCUGGUCUCCUCCCUGCCCACCCCGGCUGCCUGCUCCUGCUCCUGGCCUCUCUCUUGCUCACCUGGCCCAGCUGAUCCCGGCCCAGCAACCCUGACCUCAGAGCAGACCGCUUAUCACCCCAGGCCCAAGACUCACUUCUACCAGCUGUGGAUCAUGGCCAGAGAUGAAGAGGAAAUGGAUCUCAUUUUUGGUGAGAAAGCCUUGUAUUCUAUAUUUCCUAGCUGACACAGUGUGUCAAUGAUUAUAAGCUAUAUUUUUGAAU